rnacentral:tRNA from 1 species
GGAGAGAUGGCCGAGUGGUCGAAGGCGCACGCCUGGAAAGUGUGUAAACGUCGAAAGCGUUUCGAGGGUUCGAAUCCCUCUCUCUCCG